AGUUAUGGCGGCUGUGCGUGGGAGACCGAAAGGUCUGCCGGGUUCCUAGAGUCUCGGUUCGCCAACCUGCGUACAGCUGCCACCCUU
rnacentral:antisense_RNA from 1 species